AGUACAAUUGCUUUAUUCUAUGAUUGACGCUACUAAGCUGUUUGUGUAUAAAGGAUUCAGUGCUAUUCACUGGAGUUCUUGAAAUGGGCCCCUUUCAUAGUAGGGAGCUGCUGCAGAAGAAUCCCCUGGACAGUGUAGUCUGUCAUUUGUGGGAUGAGUAGUUUCUGUACCUCAGCAUCAAGGCUAGUGGCUUUCAUCAAGCUGAACAUGUUAGCUGCUCAUGGUUACAUUUUUGUUUUCCUGGCAGUUCCCAAACCAGACCUAGAUUCAUACGUGUUUCUGAGAGUGAAAGAACGACAGGAAAACAUACUAGUAGAACCAGAAGCUGAUGAGCAGAGGUGAGUAGCAUGUGUAUCUUCCCCAUGGAGAAUCAGCUAAACGCCAUACAUCCAACUUUUUGUCCUUUUUCAGAGACUAUGUUAUUGACUUGGAGGAGGGCUCACAGCACUUGAUUCGAUACAAAACCAUUGCACCUCUUGUUGCUUCUGGAGCAGUUCAGUUGAUAUAAAACAAAGCAAGCCUAAGAACGUGGACUCAUAGACAAUAGUGAAACUCCACCUCCUUUUGUGUGAAGUCAUGUUACAGUUCGUCAGCAACUCGUGGACCGCAUGGACACGGAAAAGGAGUCAAGCCAGGACUCCUUUGUUGCCAUGCCCUUCUCCUAGAUCUGUUUAACCAGGACCAACAGAUGGGGCCCUGCUCUUUAUACUCAGUAAAUAAAUCAACUGUC
rnacentral:lncRNA from 1 species